GCUGAACCAAGCAAUGGCAGCUGAAGAUGCCUCUGGAAACACACACACACCUGAGGCCUGAUCGUCCCUUCCCCUGGCCAAGUCAAUCUCAGAUGCUGCAAACCAUGUGCAGAUGAGGCUCAGCCAUGCGAGAAGCAUUCCCACAUCAGUAAGGAGAAAAAGAUCCUGUGCAUGAUCUGGAGGUGUGCUUUGCUGGUUCUGACAUGAAAUUAUUAAUCAAGAAACAACACCGAAGAGACAAAAAACCCCCUCCUACCCUUGAACCCCUUCAGAUCCCUUUAUUGUCCUGGAAGUUGUUGCACUUGGACUGGCUUUUCGCUUUCUCCUCUCAGAGAGUCUGGCUCCAGAAAUGGUCCCCAGAUUCCUCAGCUACGUCCUACUGAGGGAAAACAUUUAUUGAAGUUUUGAGAUUAUUGGGGAAAUACAUAUUUCUGCUUCUUUUCCAAACUCCACCGACAUCUUUUCUAAGCCAGCCCUGCGUGUCAGCACAGGGGCAGGAGAGGCAUCCUCUUGCUCUUCUCUCGAAGCCGCUGCAUUCUGUGUGAAUUUCAAGUACCCAGAAAUGCCACGGAGAGGGAUUCCUACCGUCACCGUGUGGUUCAUUAGUGGGCAAUAGUGGCAUCCAUCCCCAGCCACUGCUGGAGAGGAGAUACUGGAGCUUUGGAUGAAAUCCCACAAAUUUUCAUGGAAGCAGAACGGCAGGAAGGCAAACAGGAAAGAAGAGGAGGUCAUCCAGGUGAUGGUGGGCCUGGGGAAAAAGGACAUAAAGUGACCUUUGGUCUGCUGCAUCCACCUGCGGAAACAAAGGCACGGAUAAAAAAAGAUCACCUGCCCACCUUCAUUGCUGGUGACUGAGCCAAGCAAUUCCUUCUCCCCAGUGCCCUGAGCACUCCUCCGUGCUGCCCGAGGUCACAUAGAUUCAGGCUCACAGGCGAGCAGACCUCUUCCAGUACAUUUUGGCAGCUGGGACUCAUCUCAGUGAAAGAUGGAGCUGUGACAUAUUUGGCUGCGCCUUGGAAAAGAGAAGAGAAGGGAAAAGAGAAGAAAAGAGAAGAAAAGAAAGGAGAAGAAAAGAGAAGAAAA